CUAGAGAUAGGCUGGGACCAAACGCGAAUCUUUUUGAUGAGGGUUUGAUCCUGGCUCAGGACGAACGCUGGCGGCGCGCCUUACGCAUGCAAGUCGUACGCCGGGCUUCGGCCCGGAGUGGCAGACGGCUGAGUAACGCGUAGGUAACCUGUCCCACAGCGGGGAAUAACCCGUCGAAAGACGGGCUAAUACCCCAUUCGCUCCUGGGGUGAAACUCCCCUGGAGGAAAGCCGUAAGGCACUGAGGGAGGGGCCUGCGUCCUAUCAGGUAGUUGGCGAGGUAAUGGCUCACCAAGCCGGCGACGGGUAGCUGGUCUGAGAGGACGACCAGCCAGACGGG
rnacentral:rRNA from 1 species